CCUACGGGUGGCAGCAGUGGGGAAUAUUGGACAAUGGGGGCAACCCUGAUCCAGCCAUGCCGCGUGUGUGAAGAAGGCCCUCGGGUUGUAAAGCACUUUCAGUGAGGAAGAACGCCUGGUGGUUAAUACCCAUCAGGAAAGACAUCACUCACAGAAGAAGCACCGGCUAACUCCGUGCCAGCAGCCGCGGUAAUACGGAGGGUGCGAGCGUUAAUCGGAAUUACUGGGCGUAAAGCGCGCGUAGGUGGCUUGAUAAGCCGGUUGUGAAAGCCCCGGGCUCAACCUGGGAACGGCAUCCGGAACUGUCAAGCUAGAGUGCAGGAGAGGAAGGUAGAAUUCCCGGUGUAGCGGUGAAAUGCGUAGAGAUCGGGAGGAAUACCAGUGGCGAAGGCGGCCUUCUGGACUGACACUGACACUGAGGUGCGAAAGCGUGGGUAGCAAACAGGAUUAGAUACCCUACUAGUC
rnacentral:rRNA from 1 species